rnacentral:rRNA from 1 species
UAGGGGGCAAGCGUUAUCCGGAUUUACUGGGUGUAAAGGGAGCGUAGACGGCAUAGCAAGUCUGAUGUGAAAGCCCGCGGCUCAACUGCGGGACUGCAUUGGAAACUGUUAAGCUAGAGUGCCGGAGAGGUAAGUGGAAUUCCUAGUGUAGCGGUGAAAUGCGUAGAUAUUAGGAGGAACACCAGUGGCGAAGGCGGCUUACUGGACGGUAACUGACGUUGAGGCUCGAAAGCGUGGGGAGCAAA